AAAAAUGGGGGGACAGCGCGGAUCCGCCAUGCCGCGUGCGGGAUGAAGGCCUUCGGGUUGUAAAGCGCUUUUGUCAGGGAAGAAAAGGUUCGGGUCAAUACCUGGAACUCAUGACGGUACCUGAACAAUAAGCCCCGGCUAACUACGUGCCCGCAGCCGCGGGAAUACCUACGGUGCCAGCGUUCAUCCGAAUUACUGGGCGUAAAGCGGGCGCAAGCGGAUAUGCAACACACACGUGAAAUCCCCGGGCUCAACCUGGGAACUGCCUUUGUGACGGCAAGGCUAGAGUACGGCACAGGGGGAUGGAAUUCCGCCUGCAGCAGCGUAAUGCGCAGAUAUGCGGAGGAACACCGAUGGCGAACGCAAUCCCCUGGAACUGGACUGACACUCAUGCGCGAAAGCGUGGGGAGGAAACAGGAUUACAUACCCUGGUAGUCCACCCCCUAAACGACGUCAACUGGCUGUUGGUAGGGCCCCUAAUCAGUACACCUAGCUAACGCGUGAAGUUGACCGCCUGGGGAGUAAGGCCGCAAGGUUGAAACUCACAGGAAUUGACGG
rnacentral:rRNA from 1 species